rnacentral:tRNA from 1 species
GGAUAAAUGGCUCAAGUGGUAGAGCACCUGCCUGGUAAGUGCAGUAAAGCCUUGAGUUCAAAUCUCAUUAUCACCC